GGGCCCGCACAAGCGGUGGAGUAUGUGGUUUAAUUCGAUGCAACGCGAAGAACCUUACCAGGGUUUGACAUCCUGCGAAUUUCUGGGAAACCGGAAAGUGCCUUCGGGAGCGCAGUGACAGGUGGUGCAUGGCUGUCGUCAGCUCGUGUCGUGAGAUGUUGGGUUAAGUCCCGCAACGAGCGCAACCCACGUCUUUAGUUGCCAGCAUUUAGUUGGGCACUCUAGAGAGACCGCCGGUGAUAAACCGGAGGAAGGUGUGGAUGACGUCAAGUCAUCAUGCCCCUUACAUCCUGGGCUACACACGUACUACAAUGCUACGGACAAAGGGCAGCAAACUCGCGAGAGCUAGCAAAUCCCAUAAACCGUGGCUCAGUUCAGAUCGUAGGCUGCAACUCGCCUACGUGAAGGAGGAAUCGCUAG
rnacentral:rRNA from 1 species